rnacentral:rRNA from 1 species
CCGUAGAGAGGGUGCUAGCGUUGUUCGGAAUUACUGGGCGUAAAGGGCGCGUAGGCGGCCCGUUUAGUCGGGUGUGAAAUCCCGAGGCUCAACCUUGGAACUGCAUUCGAUACUGGCGGGCUAGAGACCGGAAGAGGUGGGUGGAAUACCCAGUGUAGAGGUGAAAUUCGUAGAUAUUGGGUGGAACACCGGUGGCGAAGGCGGCUCACUGGUCCGGUUCUGACGCUGAGGCGCGAAAGCGUGGGGAGCAAACAGGAUUAGAUACCCUGGUAGUCCACGCCGUAAACGAUGUCGACUUGGGGGUUGUGCCCUUGAGGCGUGGCUUCCGGAGCUAACGCGUUAAGUCGACCGCCUGGGGAGUACGGCCGCAAGGUUAAAACUCAAAUGAAUUGACGGGGGCCCGCACAAG